ACAUGAGGGAAGAGAUGAAGAGCUUAAGCACCUAAGCUAGGAGCUGAGGCCUUUGCUUCAGCCCUCCUCCAACCCCAGCACUGGAAAUGGAAUCUCACAUACUAUAGCACUGACCCACAUCCCUUCAGAAAAUAGUUUGUAUUUUGAGAUGAUGUCAAACUAAGGUUCUUAGGCCGGCCUUGAUGGUGCUUUUUAAGUGGCUGAAGUUUCAGUUCUCUGGCCUCAGCCUCCAGUAGCAGGGUCACAGGCUCAACCAUCCAGCUUGACUCUAGCCCGGCCUUGAUGUUACUCUGUAACCAGCUGAGUUUGUGGUUGUCCAGCCUCAGCCUCCAGUAGCGGGGUCACGGGCCUCAACCAUCCAGCUUGGCUCAGCUAUUGUGAAAGACAAAUUCUUAUAUGAGAAGGCCAUCUGUAUGCCAUCUGGGAUGACACAAGACAACGGAAAUGGGAUCCAUAAGGGUGACUGAAUCUUGGGACAUUAUGUCAUGAGUCACUGCAACUAAUGUUGAAGUCAUUUUUUUUAAAAAAAUUUAACUUUACAGGAACAGCUUGCAUGUUUCUGGCGGGUCCAUAUGACUUUCCAGGACAACGGAGCACCAACCAUCUCUAAGGCAGAUACCAUUGCAUGUGAGGAACAAGCCAGCACCUCACGUCCUUUCCAUUUUAUACUCACUUAGCUAGUCCUCUACAGCAAUAGGAUGACAACUGAGGUCAAGUUUGGAGUCAUCUAACAGUCCGACCCAGACCUGUGAAGCUCUGCCAACCGAUGAGAUGUCCCUGGCUGGGCCUUUGAGAAAAGCGCUGACUAUCCCAGGCUUCAGGAAUUUGCUACUAAAUAAGCUCACAUUCAAACUGGGAGGCAAUGUUGAAGGAGCGCGAAAGAGUUCAUUAGAAAUCUUCUUGCAACUCUCCCCCCAUCUUCCCCCAUUAUUUAGGAUGAGCCACUAGAACAUUUGAAGUUAACCAACUUGUACAUUGUACUAUGGAAUCUUCGAAAAACUGAAUUAAAUAGAAAAUGUGGCCUUUUAGAAAUGAAAAAACAAAUACUGUUUGCCAUUACAGAUUUUUUUUAAAAGCCUUAUGAUACUCCCAUCCCUCCAAUUCAUUGCAUCCUCUCUUUGCUGUGAUAGACAGAAGUAAGUGGCCAGGGUGAUGUUAGAUGUUUUGUGUCAGGGUGCUAAUAGAUAAAGAUUGAAUAGAAUGUUCUUAUU